UACGUAGGUGGCAAGCGUUGUCCGGAUUUACUGGGCGUAAAGCGCGCGCAGGCGGGCUGGUCAGUCCGGGGUGAAAUCUCACGGCUCAACCGUGAGCGGUCCCCGGAUACUGCCAGUCUUGAGGUGUCUAGAGGAGAGCGGAAUUCCCGGUGUAGUGGUGGAAUGCGUAGAUAUCGGGAAGAACACCAGUGGCGAAAGCGGCUCUCUGGGGACCACCUGACGCUGAGGCGCGAAAGCGUGGGGAGCGAACCG
rnacentral:rRNA from 1 species